rnacentral:lncRNA from 1 species
GCCCCACCUACGAUAGUAGAAGGGCAUUAUGUUUUCUGGUCUGUGCGUCCGUUCGUCUGUCUGUCUGUCCGUUCGUUCGUCCGUCCGUUCGUUCGUCCGUCUAUCCCGCUUCAGGUUAAAGUUUUUGGUCAAGGUAGUUUUUGGUGAAGUUGAAGUCCAAUCAACUUGAAACUUAGUAUACAUGUGCCCUAUGAUAUCAUCUUUCUAAUUUUAAUGCCAAAUUAGAGAAUUUAUUCCAAUUUCAC